UACCUGCAGCCCGAGUGGUGGCCGUUAUUAUUGGGCGUAAAAGGCUUGUAGGUGGCCACGUCAAGUCGGCUGUGAAAUCUCCCGGCUCAACUGGGAGGGUGCGCUACAAACUGCCGGGCUAGAGUGCGGGAGAGGAGAGUGGAAUUCCUGGUGUAGCGGUGAAAUGCGUAGAUAUCAGGAGGAACACCGGUGGUGUAAACGGCUCUCUGGACCGUAACUGACGCUGAGGCACGAAAGCGUGGGUAGCAAACAGG
rnacentral:rRNA from 1 species